AAGUCGUAACAAGGUUUCCGUAGGUGAACCUGCGGAAGGAUCAUUAUCAAAACAGCGGGCUUCGGCCCUUGCUGCACCCUUGUCUUUUGCGCACCGUAUCGUUUCCUCGGCGGGCUUGCCUGCCGGUUGGACACCAUAAAACCUUUUUGUAGUUGCAAUCAGCGUCAGAAAAAUCAUAAUUAUUACAACUUUCAACAACGGAUCUCUUGGUUCUGGCAUCGAUGAAGAACGCAGCGAAAUGCGAAAAGUAGUGUGAAUUGCAGAAUUCAGUGAAUCAUCGAAUCUUUGAACGCACAUUGCGCCCCUUGGUAUUCCAUGGGGCAUGCCUGUUCGAGCGUCAUUUUGUACCCUCAAGCACUGCUUGGUGUUGGGCGUUUGUCCUGCAGAGGACUCGCCUGAAAGCGAUUGGCGGCCAACGUAGUCGUGGCAGAGCGCAGCACAAUCUUGCGUCUCUCCCCUCUGCGUCGGCGUCCAUGAAGCCUACAAUCUCAACGUUUGACCUCGGAUCAGGUAGGGAUACCCGCUGAACUUAA
rnacentral:rRNA from 1 species